CUAUGUAGACCUUAUCUCAGCCCAUAAUUAGCAUGGUUAUUUUUUGGAAUACCUCCUGGUAGCAAACCUGCAUACACAAGAGCAGAAAGGCUUCUAGGCACAGAGCGUGAUACCGUUCACCAGUUUCAGUCUCACAGACAGCACAUCUACAGUUGAAAAAGGUCUUUUGAUAAUCCUUCUGUGCAAGGAGCAACACGAAUGAAAAAAUGAAUGCUAUUACAGCCAGGGCAAUGUUUUUAUUCAGGCUGCACCUCAGAAAGAGCGCUGUACUACAUCAUGCAUGACUACUUGGAGGUCUAGUUAUUGGUGGGCUCACUACACAGCUCCAGACAAAGGAAAGCAGUACAAGUGACUCCUCCACCUCUGUGUCCCUGGACAUGAGUGGUAACGUCCGCCCCCAAUUGAAUCCCUAUAUCUAGAAGGAAUCAAAGUCCUGGAGGGAACACAAACACCAUCACUUUCCCUGACUUUGAGGAAUUUCUGGACAUCAUCUGUAACCAGGAUUGAGAAAAUAACACCCUGAAACACAGAGAGAUUCAGGAUCAUCCAAAACUAAACAUGUCUGGAAAGGAAGGUUUAAAUCAUACUUCUCAUUUUCUGCUUGCAAACAGCUGUUAGCAAAAAAGAAGACUUCCAGUAAAAUGCACCUUCUCACAACAGCAGGUUUUUUAAAUGGCUUUCCUGUAUACCAUGCUAUCAUCAGCUAGUCAAAAACCCUGCUGUCAUUCAGAGGCCUAAUUCUCCCCUCCUCAUUUCUCACAUCCAUCUGCCUGAGGUUAUUUCUCAUCUGUAGCUGGAUUGCUUGCACUGAACAACCACUGACCUUCCCAGAGAUGGGGAAGAUCUGGCAAUUGCCAAAACUCAUGAGAAUCCAGCUGAGAUACCCAGCCCUCCCACAGGGGGGUGGGUGUGCAUGGGCUUAUGUCAUUAUAAUAAUGCCAUGCCAGCAAAACCUUUUAAUCAC